CAUAUUGAUUCUCAUUGUCUCUGAAAACUGAGUGAACAUACAUAUUGCAGAAUUUUUCUGUCUGCCCAGGGGAUAAAACAUCAAGUUUGCUGCAUACAAAGAAGUCCAUCCAGGAAAUCAGUUGCCAAUCUCACCUUCUUUCAUGUACCCCCAGUCUCUUCUAUUGAUUCUUUUGGAGCUGUUCCCCGUUUGGCUUUAUAGGAAGAGAAGGAAAAGAAGUCAAAACAUCCUUCCUCAGGUGGAAGACUCAAGAUUCCUUGAAUGUAUUGAAUUUUCUAGGGGUUGGGAGGGAAGAUGAGGAUUCAGGAAGUGAUGGAGAGUAGCCAAGCUGAUUUGGACACUUUUUGGUAAGCCCUGGACAAAGUUCUGGACUCCACUGUUUUCAGUUCUGUUUUGAAUAGGCCUGUGGUAGGUAGAAUAAUGGCCUUCCAGAGAAGUCCAUGUCCUAAUCUCUGGGACCUAUGAAUAUGUAACAUUGCAUGGCAAAGGGGAAUUAAGGCAGCAGAUGAAUUUAAGGUUAGUAAUCAGCUGGACUUAAAAUAGGGAUGUUGUCCUGGUGGAUUAUCCAAGUGGAUCCAAUGUCAUCACAAGGGUCAUUGAAUAUGGACAAAGGAGGCAGAGGAGUCAGUGUCACAGUGAUGUGACAUGAGAGUUGACCAGCCCUUGCUUGCUUUGAAGGUGGAAAGGGACCACAGCCAAGGAAUGCAAGCAACCUCUAGAAGCUGGAAAAGCUGUGCAGGCUGGAAGUCCAAGAUCAAGGUGUCAGCAGAUUCGGUGUCUGGUGAAGGCCACUUCCUGAUUCACAGACUGCCAGCAUCCCACGGUGUCCUCACAUGGUAGAAGGGGC
rnacentral:lncRNA from 1 species